rnacentral:rRNA from 1 species
AAUGAAUAUUUAAUUUUCUAGUUAUGAAAAAAGUUUUUUUAAUGCGAGUAUGUUUUUGAAAGUAAGAGUUUUAUGAUAGUGAAUAGUAUAGUGAUAGAACUAUGAGAUAGUUGUUUAAUUAGUAAAAAGAAUAGUUAAUUUCUUGUACCUUGUGUAUCAGGGUUUAUUAAAAUUCGUUAUUUAUAUAAUUUUCUCGAAUUAGGGAGAGCUAUAAUGCUAUAAAUUUAAUUGUGGUAUAAAUUUUUAUAAUAGUGUUAUGGGAGUGAAAUGUUAUUCGUUCCCUAAGAUAUCUAGUUUCUUAAGAAAUAAAUUUAAUUUAGGUCUUCAUUUUGCAUGGUAUUUAUUAAGUAGUUUUAUGUUGUGUCGGACUAAUAUUUUAAGGGAUAAGCUUUAAAAUAGAUUUAUUAAAAUUAUUGGUUUUUAUUAAGAGUUGGUAGGAUUGGAAAUGUCUAUCUUUAAUUUGUUAUAAUUAAUUCUUGGUUUAAUAAGAUUUGUAUUUUGGUUUAGUUUUUUUAUUAAGAUUAUAUAUUUAAUUGUAUGCUAUAUGGGAUAAUGAUAAAAUUAGUAUAGAUUGAUGUGUGUUGUAUUUUAUAAUCAAGGUUGAAUUAAGGAACUCGGCAAAUAUACUUUCCGCCUGUUUAUUAAAAACAUGUCUUUUUGAGUAUAAUUUAAAGUCUGGCCUGCCCAAUGAGUAGUUAAAUGGCCGCGGUAAUUUGACCGUGCAAAGGUAGCAUAAUCAUUAGUUUUUUAAUUGAAAGCUGGAAUGAAUGGUCGGACGAGAAAGUUACUGUCUCGAUUUAAUUUUUAUUAGAAUUUUAUUUAUAAGUAAAAAAGCUUAUAUGAUUUUAAAAGACGAGAAGACCCUAUAGAAUUUUAUAACUAAUUAGGUAUAUAAUGAUUAGUAUUUUAAAUUUUAUAUUUAUUUAGUUAUUUUGUUGGGGCGAUUGAAAAAUUUAAUUAACUUUUUUUUAUAUUAUUUCAUUGAUUUAUGAGUUUUUGAUCCACUUGUUGUGAUUAUAAGAAGAAAUUACCUUAGGGAUAACAGCGUAAUUUUUCUUUAGAGUUCUUAUCGAAAGAAGAGUUUGCGACCUCGAUGUUGGAUUAAAAUUAACUUUUGGUGCAGGGGCUAAAAGGUUAGGUCUGUUCGACCUUUAAAAUUUUACAUGAUCUGAGUUUAAACCGGCGUGAGCCAGGUUGGUUUCUAUCUUUAAAUUAGUUAGGUAUUUUAGUACGAAAGGAUUUAAUGUCUGUAAUAUUUACUAUUAUUUGAAUGUUAUUAA